UCCUGUCUGAAUAUGGGGGGACCAUCCUCCAAGGCUAAAUACUCCUGACUGACCGAUAGUGAACCAGUACCGUGAGGGAAAGGCGAAAAGAACCCCGGCGAGGGGAGUGAAAAAGAACCUGAAACCGUGUACGUACAAGCAGUGGGAGCCCCACCACUAAGCCAGUGGUGAACUCCACAUACGCAUCCUUUGCUGAGGAUACGGUUAACGGAGCGAAAGCGACGUUCAACCGCAAAAGAAGCAGAGGGGGCUUAGUGGUGGGGUGACUGCGUACCUUUUGUAUAAUGGGUCAGCGACUUAUAUUCUGUAGCAAGGUUAACCGAAUAGGGGAGCCGGAGGGAAACCGAGUCUUAAUUGGGCGUUAAGUUGCAGGGUAUAGACCCGAAACCCGGUGAU
rnacentral:rRNA from 1 species